rnacentral:lncRNA from 1 species
AUAGUAUAUGUUUUGCACUCUUUGAAAUAAACUUGGCCAUUAAGCCCAUCAUAUCUUGCUUCAUAGCUAAUUUUGUACUUUCAGAAUACUCAGUGUUUACAUGGGUUGUCUGAUUUAAAAGCUUUUGUGCAACCGAAUCGAUGUCCACGAAAGGUUUGCUUGUUUUUCUGACAUAUAAGUCAAUUUGUCACUCUUAUUUUAUGCAUCACCCUGGUCGUCCAAUUGGGAGUUGUCAUAAAGUACAAGGUUACAUAGACCAAUCCCUCAUAUUAUUAGUUGUGUUUUCAUGUGUUUUUCUUCCUUUCCAUGUUAUUAGCCAAUGCUGCCUCUAUGUCACCACACCGUGUCACCAUUGAAGUUAUUGCAAAACAGCCCAUUGAAGUUAGUGUAAAACAACCCAUGUCAUCUUUGCACGUUGCUUUCUAUGCCAUGCAUUCGAUUAAACAUGCAUCUUCUUU